rnacentral:rRNA from 1 species
CAGCAGCCGCGGUAAUACGUAGGGUGCAAGCGUUAAUCGGAAUUACUGGGCGUAAAGCGUGCGCAGGCGGUUAUAUAAGUCAGAUGCGAAAUCCCCGGGCUCAACCUGGGAACUGCAUUUGAGACUGUAUGGCUAGAGUGUGUCAGAGGGGGGUAGAAUUCCACGUGUAGCAGUGAAAUGCGUAGAUAUGUGGAGGAAUACCGAUGGCGAAGGCAGCCCCCUGGGAUAACACUGACGCUCAUGCACGAAAGCGUGGGGAGCAAACAGGAUUAGAUACCCGUGUAGUCCCUGUCUCUUAUAC